rnacentral:rRNA from 1 species
GGUCAAGUGAAGAAGCGCAUACGGUGGAUGCCUUGGCAGUCAGAGGCGAUGAAAGACGUGGUAGCCUGCGAAAAGCUUCGGGGAGUCGGCAAACAGACUUUGAUCCGGAGAUCUCUGAAUGGGGGAACCCACCUAGGAUAACCUAGGUAUCUUGUACUGAAUCCAUAGGUGCAAGAGGCGAACCAGGGGAACUGAAACAUCUAAGUACCCUGAGGAAAAGAAAUCAACCGAGAUUCCCUUAGUAGUGGCGAGCGAACGGGGAUUAGCCCUUAAGCUUCAUUGAUUUUAGCGGAACGCUCUGGAAAGUGCGGCCAUAGUGGGUGAUAGCCCCGUACGCGAAAGGAUCUUUGAAGUGAAAUCGAGUAGGACGGAGCACGAGAAACUUUGUCUGAACAUGGGGGGGACCAUCCUCCAAGGCUAAAUACUACUGACUGACCGAUAGUGAACCAGUACCGUGAGGGAAAGGCGAAAAGAACCCCGGAGAGGGGAGUGAAAUAGAACCUGAAACCGUAUGCGUACAAGCAGUGGGAGCCUACUUGUUAGGUGACUGCGUACCUUUUGUAUAAUGGGUCAGCGACUUAUAUUCAGUGGCAAGCUUAACCGUAUAGGGUAGGCGUAGCGAAAGCGAGUCUUAAUAGGGCGUUUAGUCGCUGGGUAUAGACCCGAAACCGGGCGAUCUAUCCAUGAGCAGGUUGAAGGUUAGGUAACACUGACUGGAGGACCGAACCCACUCCCGUUGAAAAGGUAGGGGAUGACUUGUGGAUCGGAGUGAAAGGCUAAUCAAGCUCGGAGAUAGCUGGUUCUCCUCGAAAGCUAUUUAGGUAGCGCCUCAUGUAUCACUCUGGGGGGUAGAGCACUGUUUCGGCUAGGGGGUCAUCCCGACUUACCAAACCGAUGCAAACUCCGAAUACCCAGAAGUGCCGAGCAUGGGAGACACACGGCGGGUGCUAACGUCCGUCGUGAAAAGGGAAACAACCCAGACCGCCAGCUAAGGUCCCAAAGUUGUGGUUAAGUGGUAAACGAUGUGGGAAGGCUUAGACAGCUAGGAGGUUGGCUUAGAAGCAGCCAUCCUUUAAAGAAAGCGUAAUAGCUCACUAGUCGAGUCGGCCUGCGCGGAAGAUGUAACGGGGCUCAAACCACACACCGAAGCUGCGGGUGUCACGUAAGUGACGCGGUAGAGGAGCGUUCUGUAAGCCUGUGAAGGUGAGUUGAGAAGCUUGCUGGAGGUAUCAGAAGUGCGAAUGCUGACAUGAGUAACGACAAUGGGUGUGAAAAACACCCACGCCGAAAGACCAAGGGUUCCUGCGCAACGUUAAUCGACGCAGGGUUAGUCGGUUCCUAAGGCGAGGCUGAAAAGCGUAGUCGAUGGGAAACAGGUUAAUAUUCCUGUACUUCUGGUUACUGCGAUGGAGGGACGGAGAAGGCUAGGCCAGCUUGGCGUUGGUUGUCCAAGUUUAAGGUGGUAGGCUGAAAUCUUAGGUAAAUCCGGGGUUUCAAGGCCGAGAGCUGAUGACGAGUCGUCUUUUAGAUGACGAAGUGGUUGAUGCCAUGCUUCCAAGAAAAGCUUCUAAGCUUCAGGUAACCAGGAACCGUACCCCAAACCGACACAGGUGGUCGGGUAGAGAAUACCAAGGCGCUUGAGAGAACUCGGGUGAAGGAACUAGGCAAAAUGGCACCGUAACUUCGGGAGAAGGUGCGCCGGCUAGGGUGAAGGAUUUACUCCGUAAGCUCUGGCUGGUCGAAGAUACCAGGCCGCUGCGACUGUUUAUUAAAAACACAGCACUCUGCAAACACGAAAGUGGACGUAUAGGGUGUGACGCCUGCCCGGUGCCGGAAGGUUAAUUGAUGGGGUUAGCGCAAGCGAAGCUCUUGAUCGAAGCCCCGGUAAACGGCGGCCGUAACUAUAACGGUCCUAAGGUAGCGAAAUUCCUUGUCGGGUAAGUUCCGACCUGCACGAAUGGCGUAACGAUGGCGGCGCUGUCUCCACCCGAGACUCAGUGAAAUUGAAAUCGCUGUGAAGAUGCAGUGUAUCCGCGGCUAGACGGCAAGACCCCGUGAACCUUUACUGUAGCUUUGCACUGGACUUUGAGCCUGCUUGUGUAGGAUAGGUGGGAGGCUUUGAAGCGUGGACGCCAGUUCGCGUGGAGCCAUCCUUGAAAUACCACCCUGGCAUGCUUGAGGUUCUAACUCUGGUCCGUAAUCCGGAUCGAGGACAGUGUAUGGUGGGCAGUUUGACUGGGGCGGUCUCCUCCUAAAGAGUAACGGAGGAGUACGAAGGUGCGCUCAGACCGGUCGGAAAUCGGUCGCAGAGUAUAAAGGCAAAAGCGCGCUUGACUGCGAGACAGACACGUCGAGCAGGUACGAAAGUAGGUCUUAGUGAUCCGGUGGUUCUGUAUGGAAGGGCCAUCGCUCAACGGAUAAAAGGUACUCCGGGGAUAACAGGCUGAUACCGCCCAAGAGUUCAUAUCGACGGCGGUGUUUGGCACCUCGAUGUCGGCUCAUCACAUCCUGGGGCUGAAGCCGGUCCCAAGGGUAUGGCUGUUCGCCAUUUAAAGUGGUACGCGAGCUGGGUUUAGAACGUCGUGAGACAGUUCGGUCCCUAUCUGCCGUGGACGUUUGAGAUUUGAGAGGGGCUGCUCCUAGUACGAGAGGACCGGAGUGGACGAACCUCUGGUGUUCCGGUUGUCACGCCAGUGGCAUUGCCGGGUAGCUAUGUUCGGAAAAGAUAACCGCUGAAAGCAUCUAAGCGGGAAACUUGCCUCAAGAUGAGAUCUCACUGGGAACUUGAUUCCCCUGAAGGGCCGUCGAAGACUACGACGUUGAUAGGCUGGGUGUGUAAGCGUUGUGAGGCGUUGAGCUAACCAGUACUAAUUGCCCGUGAGGCUUGACCAU